rnacentral:rRNA from 1 species
GUACCACCCUGGCCUGAUCUCGUCUGAUCUUGGAAGCUAAGCAGGGUCAGGCCCGGUUAGUACUUGGAUGGGAGACCCUUUCUUAAAGGUCAAGGCCUACA